ACCAGACUCCUACGGGAGGCAGCAGUGGGGAAUAUUGCACAAUGGGGGGAACCCUGAUGCAGCGACGCCGCGUGGGUGAAGGAGUACUUCGGUACGUAAAGCCCUAUCAGCAGGAAAGAAAAUGACGGUACCUGACUAAGAAGCCCCGGCUAACUACGUGCCAGCAGCCGCGGUAAUACGUAGGGGGCAAGCGUUAUCCGGAUUUACUGGGUGUAAAGGGGGCGCAGACGGCAGCGCAAGCCAGGAGUGAAAGCCCGGGGCCCAACCCCGGGACUGCUCUUGGAACUGCGCGGCUGGAGUGCAGGAGGGGCAGGCGGAAUUCCUGGUGUAGCGGUGAAAUGCGUAGAUAUCAGGAGGAACACCGGUGGCGAAGGCGGCCUACUGGACUGCGACUGACGUUGAGGCCCGAAAGCGUGGGGAGCAAACAGGAUUAGAUACCCGAGUAGAC
rnacentral:rRNA from 1 species